rnacentral:miRNA from 1 species
ACUUGAUGGUGUUUAUGACGUCGAUAUUCGACGUCAUAAACACCAAACUUGAUGGUCUUUAUGACGUCGUAUAUCGACGUCAUAAACACCCGACUGGAUGGUGUUUAUGACGUCGAAUAUCGACGUCAUAAACACCA